UACAGGGGGUGCAAACGUUGCUCGGAAUCAUUGGGCGUAAAGCGCACGUAGGCGGUUCGUUAUGUCGGAUGUGAAAGCCCUUGGCUUAACCGAGGAAGUGCAUCCGAAACUGGCGAGCUAGAGUACGAAAGAGGAUCGCGGAAUUCCCGGUGUAGAGGUGAAAUUCGUAGAUAUUGGGAAGAACACCGGUGGCGAAGGCGGCGAGCUGGUCCGUAUCUGACGCUGAGGCGCGACAGCGUGGGGAGCAAACAGG
rnacentral:rRNA from 1 species